GGAAAGAGAGGGAUUC
rnacentral:tRNA from 72 species